AAACCCACAAUGCAGUCAUGGAAGCGUAACGCUCGCCCUCCUGUUCCUCAGCAGGGUGCCUUCUAAGUCUGGGAUGUGAUGUAGAGAAUUGUGCGGAACUGCAGGUCGAUGACGUCGAUGACUUCCACUUGGUCUGAUGACGUCGGCAAGCCCCGAUCGGAUCGGACUUAUCAGAGAGAGAGCGAGGGAUUCAUGGCGUUCGGCAUUCGUAAGCUGUUGCUACUGGGCUCUAGGGAAGAAGACGCAGUCUUUAAACCGAAGACAGAAAAUAUACCUGCAGUACCUGACAUCAUUCAGACAUAUUGGC
ensembl:lncRNA